rnacentral:misc_RNA from 1 species
CGAUAACAUAUUUAUAAUACAAAAACAUUAAAAUACAAGAAAUUUAAAAAUUAAAGCAUCAAAUUUUAGCAAAAUCUAGUGAUGCUUUACCAGAAGGCCUCUUAAUGAAGCAGUGAUCCCAAUAAUCAGAGAACAAAAUAUGUUUGUACACUGGUUUUUCUCCAUCUUUUAGCAUUUGUGGGAAUGGACCAAUGACACUAUCAAAACUAGGAUUCACGAAUAGCGGUACGGAUAUUCGAGCCCUGCUUGAAUCAACCGCUACACAAUGCUCGAUACUCUUGUAUCGAUCAUUGCUCAUGAUCUGCAAUGAAUCACCUAUAUUAACCGCUAAGGCACCUUUGAUAGGAUUUACAUGGAUCCAGUUAUCGCCUUUAGUCCCUCGGACAUAUAGUCCUCCUGUGUCGUCCUGGAGAAGCAGAGUUAUGCAGUCCAUGUCGCAGUGUCUACGAAAACCAAUGGCGACACUUGGAUUUGGGCAUGGUGGAUAGUAGUUUACGUUUAUAGACAUAGUUCCCAUCAAGAGAGGUUCUAAAGAUUCGUCAAUUUCAUUGACAUUGAGACCCUUCAAUAGCACCUCAAGCAAUUUUUUAGCAGGUGGUUUAGCCCACUUUUGAUACUCCAAAACUUGGUUCCUUGUUUGAGGAGGCCAAAGAUUGCUAUCAUUUUGUGGAUUACAACCAUGUCUUAAACUAUCCCUCCACUCCAAAACUUUUUCAUCUUUCUCACCAAUAGCACUCCAAAACAGCAACGCGGAGUCACCAACACUAACUUUUUCUUUGUGAUACUUAACUUUUUCUUCAGCUGGCAACUCAAAGAAGUUAUGUGCUGCAUCCUUCAAGUCGUCAAGAACUUCAAUUGGGAUUCCGUGAUUGAUGAUUUGAAAGAAACCCCACUUGCUUGCUGCUUCUUGAAUUGAUUUUUCGAUACUUAAAUCAUCAAAAUUUGUUAAAUCGAUUGUGGGGAUUGAUUCUUGAUUGUCAAUUUGAGAUUUGUCUAGUCUUUGUUCUUUUGGUUGAACGCAUUGAUUUGGGAUAAUCGCAAGGCUUGUGUCUACUAGGCCUUUAAGUCCAUUUGCUUUCUUGAUUACAAAAUCAAGUAUGUCAUCAUUUGGUUUAAAUUUUAAAGAAGACAUCUGUGUUGAAUCUUGACGAGUGUGUAGUAAUGUAAGAAGGAAAAUUUGGGGUUUGAGAGGGUGUGUAUA